UGUACAUUUUAAAAGGAUUUAAAAAGCUGAGAAGAUGAAAAAUGAAUCUUUUUCUAUCAAUUAUUUACCUCUCUAAGGGCCUAGAAUACAUUGCAUUGUGCGGAUGCUGGAGUGCUUGUAUGAUAACACAGUCUCCAAUGGGAUCACUUUGUAUUGGUAGUUAAUAUAGUGGAAUAAUUCCUGAGCACAUAAUAAAUCCAACGUUUUCUACAUCAGAUUCUGUAGCGUGGGAGGCCAUGAAGUAAAAAAACUGGAAAGCACCUGUUUCUUUUUAGAAUAAAAGCUAAUUAUACUUGAUUCAUAGGUCUACAGAUAGUGUCAAGACGUGCGCAACAGAAAGCUUUGGUAAGUAGCACUGUGGUGAAAGGCAGAUGAGAUCUGGGGUCUGUGUUACUUUGUAAAUGGGAUUUACCUAUUACUUUAAAAUAUUUCAAAGAGUUAUUUAAAUAAGAUGCCCACAGAAAAGCUGAUAGAGGGGAGUAUGGUGCUUGCAGGCUGGCACUUGACCAAGGUUAUUGUCCUCAAAUUGUGAGGGGAACGUGGGAGGUUGCAGUGGUUGGGCUCAGCCACUUUUCCAUCUGCUGUCAUUCUAAUAAUAAUCCUCAUUUUAUACAUUACUGAAUUCUGUAUGGCCAUAAUAUCUUGAUUCUUUUAAUGGUUGUCUGUACAUACAAGUGUAAGACAUCACUGUCCUCAGAACACGUUGAACAUGCAUUAAGCAUGCAAAAUCACUUUUUAUUUCCUGUAGACUUUUUAAGUUCUCUAGUACCACCAGGGACUACUGAGUCAGCUUUGGAUACUUUUCUUUCCUAAUAAGCUAUGUAAAACUGUAGAAAUGCAGGUGAAGUACUACGGAGUACAUGUCUGCUGACACCUGGUAAUUUUUAUUGUUCCUCCCAUAAAGACAGUUGGGAAAGAUGCGUCACUCAUCUGGACAGAUUUACUCAGGAAGGAAGCUUUCCUCAGUUGAAGUAAAUGCUUUUCUCCAAAAGCACCGAUGGAAGGAAUGGCCUUGCCACUCAUGCCUUGAAAUGCAAGUAUUGGGAUUUGUCACAGGUAAUGUGGUCUUAGUUGUUCUGUGUUGUUGAUCUGGCCUUUGCAAGUGCCGCUGUGCCUUUUUGUGGAAUCAAACACCUCGACAUAAUUGUUCCCGGUGAGUAAGCUCCCCUUUGAGCCCUGGUUUUAUUAACAUUUACAAGAAAAUCAGCUCCACCUUUCAUGUUAUUUCUCCAGGUUCUGGGCUUGCUCUGCAGUCAGGGCUGGUUGCUCUGGCUGGCAGGGCUUUAAUUCGGACUGCUGAGGGACAGUCUCUGUAUCAGCCAGCACUGAUGCUAUUUCAUCAUCUAAAUACCUUCUUUAUAUUCUGCAAGGGUUGGGAACUUCCUGUCACAAAGGAAUUAGUUCUUCCCAGCCUAGCCUAUUAAAAAAUCACAUCAUCUUUAUGUUCCUGUUGGCCUCUUUGGAGAAUUGACUUCAUGCAAUGCUCCUUGUUUAAAAAAUGAUGAUGUGAUUGAUAUCAAGAAAAAGCUAUAGCUAUUUUCUGAUGGAACAUGCUAAUUAUGGUCUGGGUUCAAGAGCUGAAGGAAAAUUUCGAUCAUGUUGUGCUGGUAGUAUUUAAGUGUACUCAAGCAACAAGAGUACAGGGCCUUUGCUGACAUUCUGAAUUUAAAUCAAAAAUAUUUUAAAACUUUUAAACUUGUUUUUAAAAAAACACCAAAACCGCAAAACACAAUAUCCUAAUACAUCCAAUUCUGAAAAGUGGUGAAAUGAGGUGGCAUCAAAUUAAAGAACGACAAGAAAAAGAAAAAGCUUCUAGUCUGGUAUGUUGUUUACCGUUCGAAAUGUUGAGUGGCCAUGGGCUAAGCAAAGUCGAUCAAAUCUGGGGAUUCUUACUGUCCAUUUGAAAUUCUGAAUCUAUUCAAACCAAGCACAUAAAAAUACCUAGUGAAGCACCCUGAGCAGCAAGUGGAGCAUUCUGAACAUUCACUCAACCAUGUGUUUUUCUCUUGGUUGCUAACUUAAAUUGCUGUUAUUGAUUUUUCUGUUUCUGGUUAACAUAUUAAAGUACAAUUCAUUUUUAUCCAGAUAUAUUUUAUCACAGUGUGCCCUUUGAGAGAAUUUUCUUCAUAAUAUUGAAAUGCUUUUCUUCUGGUCAAGUAGUGUAUUUUAUAUUAAUACCGCUGUUAUUUUCCCCGACUGAGGUACCGGGGUUGCUGGAGAAUGAAAACAUUAAUUUCAAGAGUAGCAGGGGUUUUCUCCUUAUUGACACUGGAGCAAUCUUGGAGUGCUAAGAAUCUAAUUUCAUUCUUUCUGUUUUGGAGGGUUCUGAUGUAGAUUAAGAAAAUAAAUUGCUGCUGAUAUUCCUUACUCUGAUGGCUGCAAUAACCGAGAGAUCAGCUCCGAAAGGGUAAUGUCACCUCUGUCCUGCCCCGCCGUGAAAGGUGCAACGUGGGGCUGUAACAUCUGGGGAGCAACAUAGGGUAAAAUCCCUCCAGUGACUGCCUGCCUGGAGUUAUUGUGUGGAUUAUUUGACCAGUUGAUUGGAAAAUUACAUAAUAAUUGUUAUUUGGCAUAGACCAACUUGGGAAAACCAAAUAAAUUUGUGAAAUACAUCAAUAUUCUAAACCAUAGUUUCUUUUAAUUUAAAAUCAAAUUACCGGAGUGUAGGGAAUCUCUAGCGUGAGUAAGAGCAAGUAUUGGUUUCUUGCUUUGUGGCUUUAAUUAUGAGCCGCAAGGGCAAGUUUCCUUCUAUCUGAAACAGCAAAAUCACAGAAAAUGGGGAUAUAAGGACAAGAUCUGCUUCUUGAAGCCAACGUGGCUUCUGUAGCAACUUUUAGGAAAAAGUUGAAGCAAUCUCAGCCAGAAUACACUCACUGAAAGAUUUGGCUCUAUCUCGGAAAUCUCGAUAUCUUGGUGAAAAUCUGAGUGAGCCACAAGAAUCUCAUGAACAUGUGAUGGAGGAGUCAGGAAAACGUGGGACAGGGAAAACCAGACCUUUUGAUUUUCUUCCCUCUCCCUUGGUCUUUUUACAUUAUUUCUUAGUGAAGACUGCUCACCUACGGGCCAAACUAACUGAAGAAAUUAGUUUGAACCAAAAUUAGAUUUAGUGUGUUUGGCCAUUAAACAUUUGUGUUUUAAAUGAUGUAAUAGUACCAAUGUAUGGAAAAAUGGCCUUAACAAAAUGCCAUCCUCAGAGGUGUGCUGCAGAACACGUGGGUGCCACCAGGCAGGAACCCCAAAUCUGGGAGGUCCUGAUCAGCUGCCAAGGAUAAUUCUGUGGAUGAUGUGUCCUCCAGAUGAGGUCCAGUUCAGAACCCUGUGGACGAUGUGUCCUCCAAAUGAGAUCCAGUUCAGAACCCUGUGGAUGAUGUGUCCUCCAAAUCAGGUCCAGUUCAGAACCCUGUGGAUGAUGUGUCCUCCAGAUGAGGUCCGGUUCAGAACCCUGUGGAUGAUGUGUCCUCCAGAUGAGGUCCGGUUCAGAACCCUGUGGAUGAUGUGUCCUCCAGAUGAGGUCCAGUUCACAACUUUGCAGGCCAGGAGCUCACACAUCUACCGCACGGUGCCCGGAAUAGCAAUGGAGGUGGGUACAGGGCCAUCUGAUAAGACCGCAGGUGUUACAUCGGUCAGAGAAGACAUUUCCCUAGGUAAGUAAUGUAAAAUAAGUGCCAGUGUUAAGAGAUUUAACGGCUGCAGAUCUUGGUGAUUAAAAGCCGAGCUGUCUGUUACCAAAAAUAAUCUCUGGGAUGGCAUAGGGUGCUGUUGGCAUGAAAGUAUACAUUCAUAACGGAGGAAUAUUUAAAUUGCAGUGGCUUUGGGCACUGCCAUGCGUUUGCUUUCAAGCAUGUAAAGUGUGUGUGAUGGGAACCCGUGUCCCUGGCAAAAAUCAAGUGUGUGCUUGGGUGGGGGGGUUAAUUAGCCAAAUAUCCUUGUGUCCAUCCUGCCUCUUGUGCAUCAGGGCACAGGGGCUGCAGGUUGGGAGGAGGGGGCACCGCUCCCUACAGAAAGAUAAAUCGAAUUAUAGUGAGCUUACACUAUAUUAACGUUCAUAUACCUGAAAACCUGUGUGAGGUGAGAAUUUGCAUUUAGCAGACAGGGGGGCUGAAAGGCAGGUGUGGAUUUGGGGGUGACCAAGGGAUGGGGAGGGUUUGCUCCAGCAGUGGAAGGGGUGAGAGCUGUGGGCUGGUGCAAGGGGCACCCACAGUGCACCCCAACAUGUGAGAUACUACACUGGACUGGGAACACCACGAGAAACUCAUCCUGGAAAACACCAACCAAAAGAAAACCAAAGCCCAUAGAAAUACACAUAAUCUAGCGAUAUUUUCUAUCUGAUGAUAGAAAAAAAUGUAAUAGCAGCUAAUAGUGGAUUGUCUUAAAAUUUCAAAUGGCUUUUUGAAUUUCUGAAGGAAGAGUAAACAAAAAUGCAGGCAAAUCCCCAGAAUAUAAUCCUUACAAGCGGAGCUCUGCAUCUGUAUGAGCCGUUGUCAGUGAGCGUGGACCCUGCACCAGGGCUAAAAACCAAUUCCCCCCUGCCUUGCGCAGAGCGAGUUGCUGUGAAAGCUGCUGAAUCCCCCGGGACCGUGUCUGCCUGGCUUCGGAUCAAAAGCAAAAUUCAAUUCUGAAGCUCUUUGAAAAAAAUAAUGUAUAUAAACAAGAUGUGCUUCUGGGAUACUGGCUUAGCUGUGUGUCUUUGAGCAGGUGUUGGUAAAUGGAGAUGAAAAUCCUGGUUCCUGGGGAAGCAAGAUGUGUUGAGUGGUGGCAGCAGAGACUCUGCUGACUCUGAAACUGGGGACAUCAGAGGCUGCUGCCAGCACUGACCAGCCCUGGCUGGUCUCUUCACCAUACAGCAGCAUCUCUGGGAUGCUGCAGGUGCCUCAUCUCUCCCCACAACAUUGGGUUGGGGGUUUGGGUGGGACCCUAGGGACAAACCCCACUUUGUCUCUGCUGGGGACACCCCUUCUGCUCUGUCCCCAACCACUGCUGGGGUGGCUUUAGCAAUGGGUGCUUAGUAAAUGGACCACAACCAUGAUUUCAGUUUUGGGUAUCUCAUGCCAAGAAAGGCCUUGAGGUGCUGGAGCGAGUGGAGAGAAGGGAACGGAGCUGGUGAGGGGCUGGAGCACAAGUGUGAUGGGAGCGGCUGAGGGACCUGGGGGGUUCUGCUGGAGAACAGGAGCUGAGGGGAGACCUUCUGAUCUCUGAACUGCCUGAAAGGAGCUUGGAGCCAGGGGGGUCGGGCUCUGCUCCCCAGGAACAAGCGCCAGGAGCAGAGGAAACGGCCUCAAGUUGCCCAGGGGAGGUUGAGGUUGGAUCUGGGAACAAUUUCUUCCCCAAAGGGCUGUGGGGCAUUGGAACAGGCUGCCCAGGGCAGUGCUGGAGUCACCAGCCCUGGAGGGUUGGACAGACGGGGAUGAGGUUCUCAGGACAUGGGGCAGGGACAGGGGUGAGUUAUGGGUGGACUUGAUAAGGGUCUCUUCCAACCUAAAGUAGUCUUACCUGCAGGGUCAUGUUUGAACUGACUAGUAAAGCUGCCCUGCUUAAGGAGCUGGUGUAGGGCAGAGAAUUGGAAGCAUGAGGAAAAGUACUCCUAGUACUCCUGCUUGGACAAAUUCAGCUUCUUAGCUAUGUAUUGUUAAUUAAUAGAGGUAAACCCCUUCAGGAAAGUCUUUUUCAGAGAAAUUCAGCUGAGUGAAGUUAGGAUCAUAGUGCCUAAAUGCAUAACUACUUUGUCACUUGUGUACUGUCUGUUCUACUUAAAUCUGAGUUAUAUGUCAAAAAAAUAAGGACCGCACGUCAGAGACACCACUUACUCCCUCCUCUCACCACUGUGGCACUUGGGGAUGCUCUGAAUUUGCUCAUGUCAGGCUUAAUGGGACAGAGUUUCGGCUGGAAAAAACAAACCAAAACCAAACCAAGCCCAGCAGAAAAUAGAGCCCCAGACUCUGUCCUGUAAUCUUCAGCAAAACAUGGCAAUAACUGGAAAUUAGGGGCAGUCUAACUGUGGCAGAUCUGCACGGGGCAAUUCUUUUCCUUUUUCUGCAAGCAUAAGUUAAUUUGUGUCUAGUUUGCUGUUUUCAUGCCUAGACUGCUGCUCCCGCCUGGCCAGCCAAGACAUUGCCACCCCGCUUCUUUUUCUCUUUGUUGUGAUGAUGAUGCAUGCGGAUACUUUUGUUAUGUUGGAAAAUCAGAUAUUGUAAGAAAUAAAUGGGUAAACUGUGCAUCUUUGGCUACAAAAGGAUGCUCCCGUGCUUGUAAGGAAACCUCGUUGCUCUCCCAUUCUUUAGGGUGAUCUAAAUGUAAUGCUUUUGCCCUGGUAUUUCAUCAGGAACCUUUACAACAAGGAGUGUGUAGUAAUUACGAGAUAACAACAGGAAUGAUCGUCUUUCCAAUUACUCCUUACAAACCACAAAGCUGUGAUUUGAAUCCCUCGCAUGGCAGACUACACAAGCAGAGGUGGAAUUUUCCUGCUCCUAUUAGAGGAGAAAAUAAGAGGAUUGUUGUAUUCAUGUUAUGUCAACAGAGCCGGAGCUGUGAGUCAACACAAGUUAAAUCUUAAAGAAUAGAACUUUUGGCAGAAAACUUCUGAGCUCUGCAGCUGUUCCAGGGGAGUGAAAUCAGCAGGAAGGAGCUUCUUGGUGUAAUUGGAAAAAUUGCUUUUGCAUUAAGAAUAAACCAACCGGAAAAAUGUUGUCCUUUUUCUUUUUUAAACAAGGGUUUACUUUUGCAUUGCUUGACAUAAUGCAUAAUAAAAGAUGGUAACUUCUCAAUCUUUUAAAUACUGGUUAUUUUGGAUGAUCUUUGAACAGGCAAAUCAGCUACUCAUUGUACUGAAGUCCUUCUCAGAGAAGAACCCCCACUAUGCUUUA